CAGCCAUUGAAGAGGCAUCUGGAGCUUGCAGGAUCUUCAAAAACAGGCACACUUGGAUUUGGUCUGCAAACCUGAUUUUGCCCACCCUUGCUCUAGACCAACAGAGAAAGCACAAUAUGGAGGCGCUUUGAUUCCCAGAAAAUAGACUUUCAAAGGAUAAACCAGCUUGCUGUUGGGGUUAUUUUCAUCACUCCAAGGGAGGGACCUUAUACGAGAUGGAUUCAACUCAGAUGCUGACGCUCCCUUUGCUGCUGCAGAUGGCUGGAACCUGCCUUUGGCAUCUGGGUGGCAUAUGCCUGGCCUCCCCCUGGAAAAGCCCAGCUGGAUCCCUGCUGCUAGGGGCAUCUGGGCAAGGGUGUUUCUCACUUCCAUUCCCUACAGCAUAAGGGGAAAAAGAAAAGAUAAAGUUGAAACACCACAAAGGACCAACUCCCCUGAAGCAACGAAGUUGCAGUGGAAUUGAAUCUCCUGGACAUUUCCGUAAAAUGUUUGAAACACGAAAGGAUUUACACACAGCUUUUCAGGAGGGCUUGGAGAGCUCUGCUACUUUGCGAAUAGAAGUCGAACCUCUC